GGUCCGAUGCCACGUCGCCGGUAGCUAAAAAAGGGCGGUGACCGGCGAUGCUAUGAUUGGACCGAGAGGAAUCUCAUGUUUCGUCUUCUGAUAGGAACCUGUGGAUCUGAUUCUUGUGGUCUACGGAGCCGUUUUCGGCGAUUACAUUU
rfam:Corchorus capsularis cultivar CVL-1 contig08240, whole genome shotgun sequence.